AGAGUUUGAUCCUGGCUCAGGACGAACGCUGGCGGCGUGCCUAAUACAUGCAAGUAGAACGCUGAAGAGAGGAGCUUGCUCUUCUUGGAUGAGUUGCGAACGGGUGAGUAACGCGUAGGUAACCUGCCUUGUAGCGGGGGAUAACUAUUGGAAACGAUAGCUAAUACCGCAUAACAAUGGAUGACCCAUGUCAUUUAUUUGAAAGGGGCAAAUGCUCCACUACAAGAUGGACCUGCGUUGUAUUAGCUAGUAGGUGAGGUAACGGCUCACCUAGGCGACGAUACAUAGCCGACCUGAGAGGGUGAUCGGCCACACUGGGACUGAGACACGGCCCAGACUCCUACGGGAGGCAGCAGUAGGGAAUCUUCGGCAAUGGGGGCAACCCUGACCGAGCAACGCCGCGUGAGUGAAGAAGGUUUUCGGAUCGUAAAGCUCUGUUGUAAGUCAAGAACGAGUGUGAGAGUGGAAAGUUCACACUGUGACGGUAGCUUACCAGAAAGGGACGGCUAACUACGUGCCAGCAGCCGCGGUAAUACGUAGGUCCCGAGCGUUGUCCGGAUUUAUUGGGCGUAAAGCGAGCGCAGGCGGUUUGAUAAGUCUGAAGUUAAAGGCUGUGGCUCAACCAUAGUUCGCUUUGGAAACUGUCAAACUUGAGUGCAGAAGGGGAGAGUGGAAUUCCAUGUGUAGCGGUGAAAUGCGUAGAUAUAUGGAGGAACACCGGUGGCGAAAGCGGCUCUCUGGUCUGUAACUGACGCUGAGGCUCGAAAGCGUGGGGAGCGAACAGGAUUAGAUACCCUGGUAGUCCACGCCGUAAACGAUGAGUGCUAGGUGUUGGAUCCUUUCCGGGAUUCAGUGCCGCAGCUAACGCAUUAAGCACUCCGCCUGGGGAGUACGACCGCAAGGUUGAAACUCAAAGGAAUUGACGGGGGCCCGCACAAGCGGUGGAGCAUGUGGUUUAAUUCGAAGCAACGCGAAGAACCUUACCAGGUCUUGACAUCCCGAUGCUAUUUCUAGAGAUAGAAAGUUACUUCGGUACAUCGGUGACAGGUGGUGCAUGGUUGUCGUCAGCUCGUGUCGUGAGAUGUUGGGUUAAGUCCCGCAACGAGCGCAACCCCUAUUGUUAGUUGCCAUCAUUCAGUUGGGCACUCUAGCGAGACUGCCGGUAAUAAACCGGAGGAAGGUGGGGAUGACGUCAAAUCAUCAUGCCCCUUAUGACCUGGGCUACACACGUGCUACAAUGGUUGGUACAACGAGUUGCGAGUCGGUGACGGCAAGCUAAUCUCUUAAAGCCAAUCUCAGUUCGGAUUGUAGGCUGCAACUCGCCUACAUGAAGUCGGAAUCGCUAGUAAUCGCGGAUCAGCACGCCGCGGUGAAUACGUUCCCGGGCCUUGUACACACCGCCCGUCACACCACGAGAGUUUGUAACACCCGAAGUCGGUGAGGUAACCUUUUGGAGCCAGCCGCCUAAGGUGGGAUAGAUGAUUGGGGUGAAGUCGAAACAAGGUA
rnacentral:rRNA from 1 species